GGCGGUUCUUGGGUGCUGCACCCUGGAAUUGGGCUCCCUCCUCUCUGCUUCCAGGUGCAUCACCCAAGAACCCCA
rfam:Myotis lucifugus cont2.29275, whole genome shotgun sequence.